GUGGGGAAUAUUGGACAAUGGGGGGAACCCUGAUCCAGCCAUGCCGCGUGUGUGAAGAAGGCCUUUUGGUUGUAAAGCACUUUAAGCGAGGAGGAGGCUACCGAGAUUAAUACUCUUGGAUAGUGGACGUUACUCGCAGAAUAAGCACCGGCUAACUCUGUGCCAGCAGCCGCGGUAAUACAGAGGGUGCAAGCGUUAAUCGGAUUUACUGGGCGUAAAGCGCGCGUAGGUGGCCAAUUAAGUCAGAGGUGAAAUCCCCGAGCUUAACUUGGGAAUUGCAUUCGAUACUGGUUGGCUAGAGUAUGGGAGAGGAUGGUAGAAUUCCAGGUGUAGCGGUGAAAUGCGUAGAGAUCUGGAGGAAUACCGAUGGCGAAGGCAGCCAUCUGGCCUAAUACUGACACUGAGGUGCGAAAGCAUGGGGAGCAAACAGGAUUAGAUACCCGUGUAGUCC
rnacentral:rRNA from 1 species